GAUGAACGCUAGCGGCAGGCCUAACACAUGCAAGUCGAGGGGUAGAACACUUCGGUGUUUGAGACCGGCGCACGGGUGCGUAACGCGUAUGCAAUCUACCUUAUACAGGGGAAUAGCCCAGAGAAAUUUGGAUUAGUGCCCCAUAGCAUUACGACUUGGCAUCAAGAUGUAAUUAAAGUUCCAACGGUAUAAGAUGAGCAUGCGUCCCAUUAGUUAGUUGGUAAGGUAACGGCUUACCAAGACAAUGAUGGGUAGGGGUCCUGAGAGGGAGAUCCCCCACACUGGUACUGAGACACGGACCAGACUCCUACGGGAGGCAGCAGUGAUGAAUAUUGGUCAAUGGUCGCAAGACUGAACCAGCCAUGCCGCGUGCAGGAAGACGGUCCUAUGGAUUGUAAACUGCUUUUAUACAGGAAGAAACCCUCCCACGUGUGGGAGCUUGACGGUACUGUAGGAAUAAGGAUCGGCUAACUCCGUGCCAGCAGCCGCCGCCGUAA
rnacentral:rRNA from 1 species